CCUGCCAGUGCAGGAGACAUAGGUUCUGAUCCCUGGGUUGGUAAGAUCCUCUGGAGAAGGAAGUGGCAACCCACUCCAGGAUUGCCUGGGAAAUCCCAUGGACAGAGGAGCUUGGCAGGCUACAGUCCAUAGGGUUGCAAAAGAGACAUGACUUAGCAGCUAAACAACAGUCAGCAAGUAUCUCUGCUUGAUUCAAGGACCCAGGCUGACCAAGACCCUACCAAAUUGCAGGCACUCCAUAUGGAACACAUACCUUCCUCAAUUAGAAAAGAAGAGAGGCUGAAAAUUAUACAUAAGCUGCUUAUUCCUUCACUCUGAAGAUCUCUUUGGCUCCCAUUUCAUUGGCCAAAACUAGUCACACAGGUUCACAAACCAUAAAGAGGCUGAGAAAUGGAGGAGGAACCAAAUGAAACAUUUGACAAAUGAAACAUUUGCAAAUAUUGCUUCUUGAGAAGAAUCUUGCCAUGCCUAAAGAUGCUGCCAUAGCCAUCUCUGUGCCAAAGUGAGAUGACUACUUUAUGAGACCCCUGUAUUGUAAUCCCAGCCGGUUUGGUGUGAAAAGCUAAGGCUUGUGGCUCUGCACACUGAAUACUCAUUUGAUAACUUUGAGUGAAGCCCCUCUGGGAGAUUCGCAGAAAUGAGAGAACUCUAAUGACAGUAACAAAUACUUUGCCGGUUAGGAGGUUUCUAAUUCUGUGCUUUCAACAAAAUUGAAGGAGCACCUAAUCAAGCUGUCAGUUGCCCUAUUUUUAGCACAAAACUUGAAAGAAGUUUUUAAAAUUGGGUAAUAUUGCCACAAUAAAGCUUCUUCCAUUCCCAUUACUUAUAGGAAUAAAGAUUU
ensembl:lncRNA